rnacentral:tRNA from 1 species
GAACUGGUGGUUCAGUGAUAGAAUUCUCACUUUUCAUGUGGAAGACCUGGGUUUGAUUCCCAGCCAAUGCA